rnacentral:lncRNA from 1 species
UAAUUUUGUAGGAAUCAAGACAAUUUAAACGUGGAAAUCCACUCUGGAAGCAAAUGGACUUCCCAUUUUCGAAUGUACAGCGAAAGUAGUCAAGCGACUGUAUGCCGUGCAUAAGCAGUCUGGAAAGGACUUGAACUUGAUGCUACUUAGCCCAGCACAAGUAAUAUCCAACCUUGACCACGGAUCUGGAGCAACCGCUGACGGAAGAGAAGAAAUGAACACUGAACACAACAUAACACAAAAAUGCAAAAUAUACAAGGACAUAAAGUUAAAGAAAUGAAUACGACUUAGCCAGCUUGGCUGCUGGACUGCCAUGCUUGCACAGUCGAACUACCUCGCUCACAUAGACCGCGGUUAGCUGCUUGCAUGAAUAAACAGAAUGGUUCCACCUCAAAUAUAUUCGCCGGUGGUGCCUUUCAUUAGCGCCAGCCAAUCUCUUGGCAGUACAGCGGCGACCCACAGGCAGGAUCUGUACCUGUCUCAUUGUGCAUUGCCACUCAUUGCAGCAUCAAACUAACAGGUGUUAUCGUCUUUGUAAUAAAUUACCUUACUCAGGAUCAAGAGUCUCUGGCUGUGCUAUAGUUGGCUCCAGCCCGACCCUACUCUCUAACUAUGGUUAGACCCGCCGGCCGGACCGGGUACGACAGCCUUUGCGACCGGCCACUGGACCGGAACCGGAC